UACGAAGGGGGCUAGCGUUGCUCGGAAUUACUGGGCGUAAAGGGCGCGUAGGCGGACAGUUUAGUCAGAGGUGAAAGCCCCGGGCUUAACCUGGGAAUGGCAUUUUAGACUGGAUAUCUGGAGUACAGUAGAGGGUGGAGGAAUUUCCGGUGUAGCGGUGAAAUGCGUAGAUAUCGGAAGGAACACCAGUGGCGAAGGCGACCACCUGGACUGAUACUGACACUGAGGCGCGAGAGCGUGGGUAGCAAACAGG
rnacentral:rRNA from 1 species